AUUCAAUAUCAUGCCACAAGCUCAUUGGUAGCAGUAGAAAGGUAAUUGAUGCUAGAACCAGGGCAAAUAGGCUUCUUGCAAGGCCUGAUGACGAAUCUAUACUAUUGGGUUCCCCCAGUUCAUCUAACAAUUAACAUUUUCCUUUAAAAUCAUUAGUUUUCUUUGCUACUAAACAAUUUGUUUUCUGUAAACUGAAAUUUUUAAUCAAGUAAUUAACUAAG
rnacentral:misc_RNA from 1 species